GUCCCUGUAGUGCAAUGGAUAGCAUGUUGAACCUCUAAUCCAAAGGUCAUGGUUUCGAAUUCCAGCUGUGAUG